UUGCUGCACGUUCCCUGCUGUGUUUACUGCUUUUCUUCCAUGGUCAUGCUUGAUAUCCCUAAGAAUCACCAUAUAAGACUUAUAAAAACUUGCCAUAAUUUUGUUUUUAAAUUUCAUUUUUACUUCUCUCUAAAAGGAAAAGGAUUCAUUCUUAAUGCAGAGCACUGAAAAAAUGGAGAAAAUCACACACAGACACAACACCAUCAUCAACUAGAGAUAAUCACUGUUAACAUUUUGGCAAGAAUCUUUACUGUCCCUUUUUCCUAAUUUGUGUGUGUGUACGUGUUUAAAAACAACCCCCCCCAAAUAAUACACUUUUCACUUAGUGAUAGAUCGUGAGCAUUUUCUCAUGUCAAUAAAUGUUUUUCUGCUACAUGAUUUUAGUAACUGCAUCAUAGGAUAUACCAGACUUUACUUAAUUACUCUUAAAUUUGAGGAAAGUGAGAAUGGUAGGGAGUAUUUUAAGUUCAUAGUCACAUUCAGUUCAUACUUUAUUGCACUUCUGUUGUGUGUUAUGCUCCAGCGCCAGGCAAUUUUCAUAUUCAUAACCACAUUCAACCUUCACAGGGUCCUUAUGACCACCUAUGAAGCACUGUGAUGCCACCUGGCAGAAGAGGAAAUUGAAAGGUCUGCGAAGUUAAGUAGCUUGCCCAAAAUGACACAGUCUGUAAGGGGACACACAGAAAGAAAACUUUGGUCUCUGGAUCUAUAGCCCCUUAGCCACUGCCUGAGGUCCUAACAGAUCUUGCGCAAUCAGAAAUUCAUUCAUAUGAGGAAAAGGCAGUUAAUACCUCUGGAAAAAUGCCAAAGAAAGUGGCUGUCAGACUGAUUGCUUUUUGGCAAAGGCUGAGCUUAAGAUUUACCAAGGAAAGCCCAUGUAAGUGACCCCAGAUGAAGUUACAAGCACCAGAGCAUUGCUGAGCUUGGAGACUGGAAUUUCAGUUACCUGAUAUCAGGUGGCUCCUUCAAAUGAAUUUUUAAGUAUCUCAGUAAUGAUGAAGAACAGAGACAUCAAUUAGGAUUCAGAAGACAGGUCUCUGUAGAAAGUGCUUAAAGGAGAGCAUCAAGGAUUGGUAUUAAUAUUUAAAAGUUUACAAGAGGGUAUCCUUUUCUUCAGUCAACAAAUGAAAAAAGUAAAAUGAAACUGCAUCCAUUGUUCCUGGAAGAAGCCUGGCAGCAUUCCAUUCAGACAUCUAACUUUUGAUUGUCCCAUUUUCCCUUUUUUUUUUUUUUUUUUUUUGU